CUGGCCCCAGCCAGGACAUUGUCUGUGUCACUCAGCAGCAGACUGACUGGCGCCUGCUGCCUGGCCAGCAAUGCUGACCCCUCUGCCUGCCCUAGCCAAUAUUUGAGGUCAGGAGGCAAGUACAGCAUCUGUGGGCAGACGACAGGGCCAAUGGGGUUCUCCUCCAGGCCUUCUGCUGCCACUCUGCUUCCUGAAGCCAGGAGGCCCAGUUCAGGUGCUCCGCCAGGGCUCCCGUGGUCCUGCCUGCAGGGGCGAGGUAGCAGGACCCCCUUGUUUAGCCUCUGCUGCAUCCUUAGCUGCAGCAGGGAGCCUGCCAGGCAGGUGUGCGGCAGGACAGCGAUGUCUUCCUGCAUGACAGAAGGGGAAACUGAGGCCCAGAGUGAUGCAGCCCGGGACCUCCCAGGACAAGGUCCAAGCUCUUACCUCAGGUCCCUACACGGGUCAAGAUGGGAGCCGCCUUAGAGAUCUCUAUUCUGCAGAGGAGGAAACUGAGGCACAGACAUGGAUGGAGGGAAUUUGGCCAAGGCCCUUUGGCCUUCUGGGCCAGGACUCCAGCCCCAGCCCAGUGGCAGGAAGAGGGUCUCAUGCCACCCCUCAACCCUGAUAAUCCUGCAUGCACGGCACAGGCCUCGAACCUCCUCUCCCCUGGCCUGGUCCCACCCUAGUGGGCCCGGCAGUGGGGCCUUCCAUCCUGCCUCUGUCACUGCCACAAAAGAACAUCAUGAUGCAUCCCAGGCCUCUGUCCUUCAGGCCAUGGGGGGCUUCCCUGAGCACAGCCACUCACCACAUGCCUGAGUCUGGAUCUCAUGCGAGAACUGGCCUGGACCCCUGGACCAGGAUACAAACUCAUCUGGAAGCAUUAAAACAAUGGAAGCAGGUGAGAGCAGAGAGAUCCCGAGCGCAGGUGAGGUGGGGUCCCUGAGGCGGGCUCAAAAGCUGCUUCCCAAGGCAGGGGGGCCCCUAUGUGCCCUCUGAGAGCACAGCCUGCAGACAGAGUCCAGACGUCUCAGGCAGGCCUUUGAGGCCUUCGUGUCAAAGCCCAGUUCUACCACAUCCUAGGGUUAUACUUUCGGCCUGGUGGGAGUCGCUGGUCCCCAGUUGACAGUGUCAUUGGGAAAGUCCAGUGGUAGACCCCGGCACAGCAGGCGCUCAGCAGUGCAGCAGUAUCAUUGCUUAGCCCCACCUCCCUUUCCAGACUCUGCACCCCUCCUCAGGCUCAGAGCAAGGGCCUGCCCCUGCCCCUCCACCGCCCCCUCCUCACUUACCCCUGCGACUCUGCCCAAGCAAGACCUCCCCCUGGAAUUCAUUCAUUUAUCAACUCAUUAUGCAGCCAGCCAGCCAUCGUUUCUUUUUUAUCCACUUUUUCUGAGGGCCUGCUGUGCGCCAGCUGCUGGAGACAUGAAGACAUCGAAGACCCCAGGCCUUGACCUCCAAGAGCCCCCAGUUUGGUGGAAGAAACAAACAAGGAGACUGCAAAACACACCCUGUGAUGGGGAGGGUUGAGCAGGUGCUCGGUCAGUGCAGCCACGACCAUCCCGUCCUGCAUCCCCACCAUGAACUUGGACCUUCUGGAAGGACCUUGCUUAUCCCAGCAUCCACACAUCCUUGACCAGACCUGGUCAACAUUUGCUUACCUCUGCCAGCCUCCUCUCACCCAUUCCUGCAUGUGCCGCACCAAUCUGUGUGGAGCGCCCACUCCAGCCAGGCCCUGCUCUAUCAGCAAACUCAGCAGGCAGAACCCCUGCCCCAUGGCGCUGCUUCAGCGUGGUGAGACAGGAACCGCCUGGCUGCUGGGAUGAGAAGAGACUGGAGAGAGACCACGAUGGAAGCCAGGAGGCCAACGAGGAGUUGGGGUAGUCCUCCAGGGAGACAUGAUGUGGCUUCAGCCCCAGUGGUGAUGGCGGGGUAGAGCCAGCAGGGUUCUGAACUGAGUGGAUGUGAAAUGAGGGAAAGAGGGAUGCUGCGGUCGGCAGAAUCGUGCCUCCCGCAAAGAUGCCCCAUCCUAACCCGUCACCCUUGACAGUGAGACCUCCACCACAAAGGGGACUUUGCAGGCAUGAAGGUUAAGGACCCUGAGAGGAGGAGAUGGCCCUGGACUGUCUGGCGGGCCCAGCAUCAUCACAAGGGUGCUUAUAAGUGGAGGAGGAGGCAGGGGGAGCCGAGCAGAUGUGAGGAUAGAAGCAGAGGUCGGAGGGACGUGCUGUUGGCUUGAGAUGGAGGAGGACCUAUGAGCCAAGGAGCAUGGGCGGCCUCUGGAAGCCAGAAAGGGCAAGGCCUCUUCCCGGAGCCUCCAGCAGAACCCAGCCCCGCUGCCACCUCGACUGCAGAACGGUGACACCGUGUCCGAUUCCCGACCUCCAGAACCGUGAGAUAACACGUGUGCUGUUUUAAGCCACUGCAAUUGUGGUAUUUGUCACAGCAGCCAUAGGAAACUGUACGGGGGUUAAAGAGGACCUGCUGACCUCUGAGCUCACACUGAAGCCUCCUGGAAUGCUGUGGGUUGUGAGCUGGGAUGAGAACGCAGCAUGGAGAUGAAAGACGCAUCCACCCAGGAAGGCCCACUGGCAUCGCAAUCUCAGGGAAGAUUCCCAGGCUGAAAAAAGAGAAAGUGGCUGGGGUGGCACUGAAUGCCCCACGUCAAAGAAAUGGCACCCAAGCCGUCCGUCAGUCCCUCACCUGCCACACAGACAGCACCUUGGACCCAGCAAGAUGUCACUCACCACAUUGAUGCUGUCCACAGGCAUCGCCUUGCUUUUGCAGCUCUGUGUGAGAUUUGUCAGCUUGGUUUGGGUCUGGGGCUGUAUUAGAGCUGUCAGCCUAGGAGCCUACCCUAGUUUUGUGUCUGCACUAUUUCCAAAGCACUGGAAUAAAAGGCAUUUUAACCAACACCAGGAACCCACGGGAAUCUUUUCAAAGGAUCUGCAUCAGAUCAGCCUAAGGAACACUGCUGUCGGUGAUGAAAUCUGUUGAGGAUUCGAAGCUGGCGUGUGGUGCACGCAAAUUCCUUUUUUCUUUUUUAAUCAAUGAUUAGAUGAUUCCUUAGAGCAGUUUUAGGUUCACUGCAAAACUGAACAGAAAGUGCAGAAUUCCCAUAUCCCACCUUCCCAAACACACACACAGUUUCCUCUGUGACUAACAUCUUGCAUCUUGUGGUACAUUUGUUACAAUUGAGGAACCAAUAUUGACCCAUUAUUAUAAAGUCAGUAGGUGACAUAAGCAGUCACUGUUGGUGUGGUGAUUCUGUGGCUUUGGAUAAAUGUAUAAUGACAUAUAUCCGCCAUUACAGUAUCACGCAGAAUAGCUUCACUGCCCCCAAUGUCCUCCGUCCUCCAUCCACUCACUCCUUACCUCCCCCAGCCCCUGGCAACCACUGAUCCUUUCCUGUCUCCACAGUUUUGCCUUUUCCGUAUGUCACAGGGUUGGAGUCAUACAGCUUGUAGCCUUUUCAGAUCGGCUUCUUUCACUGAGUAAUGUGUAGUUACUCUUCCUGUCUUUCAGCGACUUAAGAGCUCAUUUCUCCUUAGCACUGAAUAAUAAUAUUCCGCUAUCUGGACGUACCGCAGUUUAUUUAUCAUCCGCUUUGUGAAGGGCACCUGGGUUGCUUCCAAGUUUGGGCAGUUAUGAAGAAAGCGACGAAAACAUGCCGAAAACCUGGCUCACGCACUGUGUUCAUGGCGUGUGGAGGGGGCGCUUCGACCAUCAAAGGAAGUUUGGAAGGAGGCAGAGUUCGGUGGCCUUGGGGCCCCUGGGGCGGCAUGACUCCAGGGGGUGGGAGAGCUUUCUGGAAGGUGAGCUGUCCAGCAGCGUGGGGACUAGGGCGGCUAGGACAUCUCAAGAAAUCCUUCCCUGACACAUCGCCUCCCCCGCCAGGUCUAAGCAGAGGCCAGGAAGACCUGACAGGGAUGUGUUCUGCUCUGCGAGAAGACUGGGCACUGCUACAUCCUGGGACUCUAGGCCUGGGCAGCUCUUCCCUUGGCAGAGGGCACUGCUCUCCUGCUGCUGCCGUCACCUGCUUGCCAUCACCACGAGGGGCAGCCCGAGGGCAGGGCGUGAGAACCUUUCAUCUCUAUCCCUGCUCCCCAUCUCAGGACCUCCAGGUGCCCCCAGCCACACCUGAGCCAUGAAGGCUUUGCCAUCUGACCCCUGCUCUGCACAGGAAGAAGCAGGAGAUGGCACAGAUGGGCAUAGAGCCAGAGCCACCCCAGCCCUGCUGCAGGACCAGCCCUCAGCCGCGUUAUCAGUGCCCAUCUGAGUCAACUGUGCACAAAAACAGGAAGACUGGGACAAGAUCUUUCACCUUCCUUCGAUUGUCAUCAUCCAAUUGUUCUUCCCGCGGUGACGCCAUCCGGCAGCUUCACCGAUAUUCCUCUCUGGCAUGACAGGGCCAGGCCCACCCCCCACAGAGGAGACAAGGAGGCGGAGAAGCCAGCCUUUCUGCAGGGCAUAGGCACAGGGCUAUGUGGUUGCCAGAUGCACAGAAAGACCCUCAACCACAACCUGGGCUUUCAGGGCAAACCCAAGGGGCUUUUCGUGACUAUGCCGGGGGCGUGGAAAUGACUCCUCAAAAUGCAGCACUUGCGGCAACAGGGGAGCAGCCCUGCCAGAGAGGCCCAAAUCCUGGACUCAAG
ensembl:lncRNA LINC01488 long intergenic non-protein coding RNA 1488